UUCAAUGGCUGUAGCAUAGCGUAUUCGACUGAAUGAUUAUAAUAUAUAUUUGAGAAAUUCUGAAUAAUAAGCAUAUGCUUUUACCUGAUAAUAGACUACUACUGAUAAUAUAACAACUUCAAAUACCGAGCUAGUAACAUUAAGUAGCCUAGGUUAACUUAGCUGGCCUUCAAUUGAGGGAAUUCAACAGAGUACUCUGGGACAUUUUUACAACUCAUUCAAACUCUAAAAUUAAAUACAUGGGUGUGACAAUGCUAGCUAGCCAAUGGGAGCCUAGUAGAACACUCCUCUGAAUAAUGGGGUGUGGUUUUGGCUUAACUGCGUUGGGGAAAAGUAAGAAGCGUUCUUGACAGAAACCAAAACAACAGGAUGUACAAAGAGGCGUUUCCUUUUUUCACAAAUGUGUUGCUGACACAGUCACAUAGCUACUUCCUGUUGUCUCAGUAACAGCAUGGCAGAGAUGAAACCACAACUCUGAGAAAAACUAACCUUACUAAUAACUUCACCAGAAGGGGUAUUCAGCCAAUCAGUAGCCAUCAUGUUUCUGGACCAACAUGAGAAGAUCUCAUAGAGACAAAGAGAUGGGGAGCAACUGCUCCAAAAGGAGGAGAGAAGAGGGG